GAUGAACGCUAGCGGCAGGCUUAAUACAUGCAAGUCGAGGGGCAGCAUGACUGUAGCAAUACAGUUGAUGGCGACCGGCAAACGGGUGCGGAACACGUACAGAACCUUCCUUCAAGCGGGGAAUAGCCCAGAGAAAUUUGGAUUAAUACCCCAUAGUAUUACGAAGUGGCAUCACUUUGUACUUAAAGAUUUAUCACUUGAAGAUGGCUGUGCGGCUGAUUAGGUAGUUGGCGGGGUAACGGCCCACCAAGCCUACGAUCAGUAACUGGUGUGAGGGCACGACCAGUCACACGGGCACUGAGACACGGGCCCGACUCCUACGGGAGGCAGCAGUAAGGAAUAUUGGUCAAUGGACGAAAGUCUGAACCAGCCAUGCCGCGUGGAGGAUGAAGGCCCUCUGGGUUGUAAACUUCUUUUAUAUGGGACGAAAAAGGGUCUUUCUAGAUCAACUGACGGUACCAUGUGAAUAAGCACCGGCUAACUCCGUGCCAGCCGCCGCCGUAACAC
rnacentral:rRNA from 1 species